AGAGUUUGAUCCUGGCUCAGGAUGAACGCUGGCGGCGUGCCUAAUACAUGCAAGUCGAACGCUUUGUGGUCUAACUGAUUUGAAGAGCUUGCUCAGAUAUGACGAUGGACAUUGCAAAGAGUGGCGAACGGGUGAGUAACACGUGGGAAACCUACCUCUUAGCAGGGGAUAACACUUGGAAACAAGUGCUAAUACCGUAUAACACUAAUAACCGCAUGGUUAUUAGUUAAAAGAUGGUCUUGCUAUCACUAAGAGAUGGUCCCGCGGUGUAUUAGCUAGUUGGUAAGGUAAUGGCUUACCAAGGCAAUGAUACAUAGCCGAGUUGAGAGACUGAUCGGCCACAAUGGGACUGAGACACGGCCCAUACUCCUACGGGAGGCAGCAGUAGGGAAUCUUCCACAAUGGACGAAAGUCUGAUGGAGCAACGCCGCGUGUGUGAUGAAGGGUUUCGGCUCGUAAAACACUGUUGUAAGAGAAGAAUGACAUUGAGAGUAACUGUUCAGUGUGUGACGGUAUCUUACCAGAUAGGAACGGCUAAAUACGUGCCAGCAGCCGCGGUAAUACGUAUGUUCCAAGCGUUAUCCGGAUUUAUUGGGCGUAAAGCGAGCGCAGACGGUUAUUUAAGUCCGAAGUGAAAGCCCACAGCUUAACUGUGGAAGUGCUUUGGAAACUGGAUAACUUGAGUGCAGUAGAGGAGAGUGGAACUCCAUGUGUAGCGGUGAAAUGCGUAGAUAUAUGGAAGAAUACCAGUGGCGAAGGCGGCUCUCUGGACUGUAAACUGACGUUGAGGCUCGAAAGUGUGGGUAGCAAAC
rnacentral:rRNA from 1 species